rfam:Dipodomys ordii contig_747, whole genome shotgun sequence.
GGGAAUGUGGCUUAGUGGUAGAGUGCUUGCCUAGCAUGCAUAAAACCCUGGGUUCGAUUCCUCAGUACCA